AUUGAACGCUGGCGGCAGGCUUAACACAUGCAAGUCGAGCGGGGAAGAGUAGCUUGCUACUUAACCUAGCGGCGGACGGGUGAGUAAUGCUUAGGAAUCUGCCUAUUAGUGGGGGACAACAUCUCGAAAGGGAUGCUAAUACCGCAUACGUCCUACGGGAGAAAGCAGGGGACCUUCGGGCCUUGCGCUAAUAGAUGAGCCUAAGUCGGAGUAGCGAGUUGGCGGCGUAAAGGCCUACCAAGGCGACGAUCUGUCGCGGGUCUGAGAGGAGGAGCCGCCACGCUGGGACGGGGACACGGCCCAGACUCCUACGGGAGGCAGCAGUGGGGAAUAUUGGACAAUGGGGGGAACCCUGAUCCAGCCAUGCCGCGUGUGUGAAGAAGGCCGUUUGGUUGUAAAGCACUUUAAGCGAGGAGGAGGCUACCGAGAUUAAUACUCUGGGAUAGUGGACGUUACUCGCAGAAUAAGCACCGGUUAACUCUGUGCCAGCCGCCGCAGUAAUAC
rnacentral:rRNA from 1 species